UACGUAGGGGGCGAGCGUUGUCCGGAAUUACUGGGCGUAAAGGGCGCGCAGGCGGCCGUGUAAGUCCGCUGUGAAAGACCGGGGCUCAACCCCGGGGUGUCAGCGGGGACUGCACGGCUGGAGUCCCGGAGAGGGAGGCGGAACACCUGGUGUAGCGGUGGAAUGCGUAGAGAUCAGGUGGAACACCGAUGGCGAAGGCAGCCUCCUGGACGGGUACUGACGCUGAGGCGCGAAAGCGUGGGGAGCGAACGGG
rnacentral:rRNA from 1 species